rfam:Sus scrofa chromosome 15.
UCCCUGGUGGCCUAGUGGUUAAGGAUCCAGCAUUGUCACUGUUGUGGCACAGGUUAAGUUCCUGGCCUGGGAA